rnacentral:rRNA from 1 species
GACGAACGCUGGCGGCGUGCUUAACACAUGCAAGUCGAACGGAAAGGCCCUGCUUUUGUGGGGCGCUCGAGUGGCGAAUGGGUGAGUAACACGUGCGUAACCUGCCCUUGACUUUGGGUUAACUUCAGGAAACUGGGGCCAACAUCGGAUCGGAGCUCCUGCUGCAUGGUGGGGGUUGGAAAGCUCCGGCGGUUGGGGAUGGACUCGCGGCUUAUCAGCUUGUUGGUGGGGUAGUGGCUUACCAAGGCUUUGACGGGUAGCCGGCCUGAGAAGGUGGCCGGCCACAAUGGGACUGAGAGACGGCCCAGACGCCUACGGGAGGCAGCGGUGGGGAAUAUUGCACAGUGGGCGGAAGCGUAAUGCAGCGACGCCGCGUGCGGAAUGACGGCCUUCGGGUUAUAAACCGCUUUCGCCUGUGACGAAGCGUGAGUGACGGUAAUGUAUAAAGAAGCACCGGCUAACUACGUG